AGCAGCCGCGGUAAUUCCAGCUCCAAUAGCGUAUAUUAAAGUUGUUGCAGUUAAAAAGCUCGUAGUUGAAUUUCGGGGUCAGUAGGUUGGUCGUGCCACUGGUAUGCACUGGUCUUACUGAUUCCUCCCUCUUGUAGAACCGUAAUGCCAUUAAUUUGGUGUUGCGGGGAAACAGGACUGUUACUUUGAAAAAAUUAGAGUGUUUAAAGCAGGCUAACGCUUGAAUACAUUAGCAUGGAAUAAUGAGAUAGGACGUUCGAUCCUAUUUUGUUGGUUUCUAGGAUUGACGUAAUGAUUAAUAGGGAUAGUUGGGGGCAUUAGUAUUCAAUUGUCAGAGGUGAAAUUCUUGGAUUUAUUGAAGACUAACUACUGCGAAAGCAUUUGCCAAGGAUGUUUUCAUUAAUCAAGAACGAAAGUUAGGGGAUCGAAGACGAUCAGAUACCGUCGUAGUCUUAACCAUAAACUAUGCCGACUAGGGAUCGGAUGAUGUUAAUUUUUAAUGACUCAUUCGGCGCCUUAC
rnacentral:rRNA from 1 species